rnacentral:lncRNA from 1 species
GUAUGAGAUGGGCUGGAACAAAAGCUUCAGAUCUUCUCCAUGUACACAGACCCAAAGACAUUCAAACAGCAAGCAUCCCAAGUCUCUAAUGGUCCCAAUACUGGUUGAUGUGCAGGCCUAAGUGAGCACACACUAAAAUGGACCUACAGCUGUUGGUUGGGGACACACGAUGAGCAUGAUUUGAAUGCUGCAACUGAGACUGAAUGACGUUGAGGGACACGCGCUGAGACCCCGAGUGUGACUGGACAUGGGCCGGGUAUUUGUGACAACGACCUACAAGGGGUGAAAAAGCACAGCAACAACCACUUAUGUUUAUUCCAUCCCUCUAGCUACCCCUUAUUCCACACUGUGCCUUUUAUUCUCCAUGUUCCCUUAACUUCGGACACUUUGGAACUCUCCAUCUUCUCUCAAUAAACCCACCCUGCCUAUACUGGUUCCUUCACUUGUUCUUCCUAUCUAGACUCAGUAACACAUUUAAGUGUUGUGGUGUACUGUUUUUGCGAGCUUUUUUUCCCCCCACCUGUGUAAUGCUGUCCUGCUUAUUCUGGGAUUCAGACUGAAUGCAGUGGUAAAUGUGCUUCUCACAAUUGACAGCAGCAACAUGGACCUGUUAAAUUGACAAGAUGAGUGUUGCCAUAACUACUUUAGGCAUGGCUUCCAUGUUUUGAGUAUGUUAGAUGAUUUUCUCAUUCUGCUGGAGUUGAUCUAGUAUUUUAACUUACCCACCAAAAAUCACAAUAUGCUGUUUUACAUUGUUAUUUGUGCUGGUCUAAUUCCUAAAAAUGAAAAGCAGAAGAAUCUGUCAGCUCUGACAUAGUAGUAAUAAUAGAUCAUAUGGUGCUUUGAUGCCACAUGUUUGACAUUGAUUAAUUUUAUUUAUUUCAAGUCAGCUGUUUAUUGUAUUAUGUAUAUUGUUUAAGAAGUCUAAAAUAGCAAACAAUGUAAUUGUUGGAGUUCAGGAGUUUGACUUGAUUGACGCGUGACUAGGUGCAUUCUUGUCAAAUAAAUAUGCUUAUUUAUACAUGAAUAUAGAUCUGCAAUGAGUUACUCUGGCUUUGAAUCUGCAACAGAACACGUCAACAAAUUAGUUCUGAAUUAAUAAAGCAGUGCAUUCCCGACUCCAGGAAUUGAAAUAGUUUGUCGGUCAUAUAGUUGGCAUUAAUGAUAAGGGAUUAAAUGUAGAGGAUCUGGUAAAAUAAAGGUAUGUUGCUAAUAUCAUCUAGGUAGCUAACGUUAGCUUGCUAACUUCUAUGCAAAAACGAACCUAGUAUUCGUUGCAAAUUGUAAAUCUGACUGCUACUAGGACAGUAUUUUGUACAAGACACAACCAAUUGCAUAAAAAAAGCUAAGAAAUAUUAGUUUAAAAUAUGGAACAGUACAUUAAAAU